AACUACUAGGGGUGCCCGAUUGGGCUGAGAGAAGAACGGACGUUUUUUAACCCUUUGGACCUGAUCCGGGUAAUACCGGCGGAGGAAAGUAGAGU
rnacentral:ncRNA from 1 species